ACCCUAAUUCCAUGCUAAAUCGUGAAUCCGUUUUUUCCCAAUUUCGUGAACCGAUUCGUGAAUCCCUAAUCCGUGAAUCCAUUGAAGAAUCCCUAAUUCAAAAUCCCUCGUUAAAGGGUUUCUGAAUCAUCAAAGGUUUUCCAGAACUAUCGGCUUUGUGGAUGCUGGAAUCAACUUUUCUUUGCAAGUUUUCAAGAAUGCUCAUCUUACUUAGUGGAGGCAGUAAGCAGUUGUUGAAUGCAAGUUAAUUUGGAACCGAAGCACUAUAUCAUCCGGGAUUUUGCAAAGACAACUCUUUCUCAAGAUGACUAAAAGAGGUGGAAAAGCUAAGGUAUUAGCACCAGGAAAACUUCAAGAAGAACGAAAUCGCAUAAUUAACAAGAAGCAUAUCGUUAGGAAACCUGCUCAAACAACAUUGUCUAUGCAGGAUGCAUCAUCGGCACCAACACCAGCUCAGGCAGCACCGUCCGUGCAGGUUGCAUCGUCGAUGCCGACAUCAGCUUCGAAAAAAUCAUCUGUGCAGGCUGCAUCGUCGAUGCCAACACCAGCUCAGGAAGCAUCGUCCGUGCAGGUUGCAUCAUCAAUGCCAACAUCAGCUUCUAAAAAAUCGUGUG